CCUACGGGUGGCUGCAGUGGGGAAUAUUGGACAAUGGAGGAGACUCUGAUCCAGCAAUUCUGUGUGCACGAAGACGGUUUUCGGAUUGUAAAGUGCUUUCAGCAGGGAAGAAGAAAGUGACGGUACCUGCAGAAGAAGCGACGGCUAAAUACGUGCCAGCAGCCGCGGUAAUACGUAUGUCGCGAGCGUUAUCCGGAAUUAUUGGGCAUAAAGGGCAUCUAGGCGGAUAUACAAGUCAGGGGUGAAAACUUAGGGCUCAACUCAAAGCUUGCCUUUGAAACUGUAUAUCUAGAGUGCUGGAGAGGUGGACGGAACUACACGAGUAGAGGUGAAAUUCGUAGAUAUGUGUAGGAAUGCCGAUGAUGAAGAUAGUCCACUGGACAGCAACUGACGCUGAAGUGCGAAAGCUAGGGGAGCAAACAGGAUUAGAUACCCUAGUA
rnacentral:rRNA from 1 species